UGCAAAGGUAGCAUAAUAAUUUGGCUUAUAAUUGAAGUCUUGUAUGAACGAAUACAUGGGGAAUAACUAUAUCAACAAUGUAAAAUGAAAUUACUAAAUACGUGCAAAUACGUAUAUUUACAUAAAAGACGAGAAGACCCUAGAAAUUUUUACUAUUUACGUUAACUGUUUUUGCUGGGGCGGCAUAGUAACAUGAAACUUACAUCAUUAUACAAGAAGUGAUAAUUUGCAGAAUGAUUAAAUUACUCUAGGGAUAACAGCAUAAUUUACUAUAGUUUGUGACCUCGAUGUUGGAUUAGGAAGU
rnacentral:rRNA from 1 species